UACGAAGGGGGCUAGCGUUGCUCGGAAUCACUGGGCGUAAAGGGUGCGUAGGCGGGUCUUUAAGUCAGGGGUGAAAUCCUGGAGCUCAACUCCAGAACUGCCUUUGAUACUGAAGAUCUUGAGUCCGGGAGAGGUGAGUGGAACUGCGAGUGUAGAGGUGAAAUUCGUAGAUAUUCGCAAGAACACCAGUGGCGAAGGCAGCUCGCUGGGACGUUACUGACGCUGAGACGCGAAAGCGUGGGGAGCAAACAGG
rnacentral:rRNA from 1 species